GAUGAACGCUGGCGGCGUGCUUAACACAUGCAAGUCGAACGGAAAGGCCCAAGCUUGCUUGGGUACUCGAGUGGCGAACGGGUGAGUAACACGUGGGUGACCUGCCCUGCACUUCGGGAUAAGCCUGGGAAACUGGGGCUAAUACCGGAUAGGACCACAUUUUGGAUGGUGUGGUGGGAAGUUUUUCGGUGUGGGAUGAGCUCGCGGCCUAUCAGCUUGUUGGUGGGGUAAUGGCCUAUCAAGGCGUCGACGGGUAGCCGGCCUGAGAGGGUGUACGGCCGCAUUGGGAGUGAGAUACGGCCCAGACUCCUACGGGGGGAAGCAGUGGGGAAUAUUGCACAAUGGGGGCAAGCCUGAUGCAGCGACGCCGCGUGGGGGAUGACGGCCUUCGGGUUGUAAACACCUUUCGCUAGGGACGAAGCGUUUUUGUGACGGUACCUGGAGAAGAAGCACCGGCUAACUACGUG
rnacentral:rRNA from 1 species